rnacentral:lncRNA from 7 species
CUCCUCAUCUCAUCACUAGUCACUCAACCGCAAUUGAUUGAAAAUUGUGUUCAUCAUCUCGUUGGAUCGAUCAUAAUUCUUUCAUUUCUGGCCUCGACAAGUAUCGAGCUCAUUAAUCCAUCAAUCCAAUGUGUGUUCUGUCGAAGGCGACAAUGGUGAGCUACUUAUCGCCUUCGUGCUGCAUGUGUUGCAUGGACGCCUUGAUGAGUAGCUCACCGUUGCCGCCUUUGACCAAGCACACACCCAAUUGAUCGAUUAAUGAACUAGAUACUCAUUGAGGCCACGAAUGAAAGAAUUAUCAUCAAACCAACAAAUGACGGACACAAUUUUCAAUCGAUUAUGGAUGAGUGUGAGUAGUGAUGAGCUGAGGAAGAUGCAAUGAUAGAUCGAUUGUGUACAUAUAUAGGCACUGCGUACGUGCUGCCCCUUUUUGGAGUGACAAAUAGGAACUAGCGCGCGUAUUUUUGCAUACAACCACUACUAAAUAAGAGAUAUAUGUAAAAUUUAACGCAAGGGAUAUAGGGAAGAGAUAUUUGU